UACGGAGGGUGCAAGCGUUAUCCGGAUUCACUGGGUUUAAAGGGUGCGUAGGCGGGUAAGUAAGUCAGUGGUGAAAUCUUCAAGCUUAACUUGGAAACUGCCAUUGAUACUAUUUAUCUUGAAUGUUCUGGAGGUCAGCGGAAUAUGUCAUGUAGCGGUGAAAUGCUUAGAUAUGACAUAGAACACCUAUUGCGAAGCAGCUGACUACGGAAAUAUUGACGCUGAGGCACGAAAGCGUGGGGAUCAAACAGG
rnacentral:rRNA from 1 species